CAUUAACAUAAGGCAGCACCUGUGCUUUUGCCGAGUCGUCGCUGGUAGAAUACUUGUCCUCAGUUCAGCAACGAAGCAUAGCAUCUCGUUUAGGACGACUACUGUGGGGGUUUAGAGCUUUCACACAGACUGGGCGCAUAGUAACGUUGAUGGACAAGGGAUAUGCCAAACGAACACUGGAGGUUCCGUACCCUUGCUGUGUCCAUUAUUAGUGUGAGCUGCAUCCACACAGAGGUUGGACUGCUUUACGCAAGGGUUCGGGAGUUUAUGUCAACAGCGUUGCCAAUGACGGAGCAGGUACAAACAUUUGAAGUUUACACCUACUGCAUUCAUAGCGCAUGGUUGUAGUUUACUAACUAUGGUUGUAUCUGUUUUAGGAACGACUGUGUUGGUAGUGAUAAUAGCCACUGUUUUGUCUUGGUUUAUUUUCGUUCUGUUUGUUUCUUUUACUGAGUGCCACACUGAUUUUGUCCAUACUGGUGUUUGAAGGCCUAUGUUAGGCUACAGCGCAAUCCCUUGCAACGGGCCAAUGUUGAAACUAAACCUUGAAAUCAUAGAUAAGUACCAUACUACCAUAAGUAUACGGGAGGCCGUUACUCUGGGGCAUAGAGUCUAUGCUUC